UUGCGACCCCAGGUCAGGCGGGAU
rnacentral:rRNA from 2 species